UUUCCGUAGGUGAACCUGCGGAAGGAUCAUUAUUGUAUAACCGAGGUGCGAGGGCUGUCGCUGUCCCGAAAGGUCGUGCACGCCCGAGUGCCCUCACACACAUCCAUCUCACCCCUAUGUGCACCACCGCGUGGGUCCCCCUUUGGCUUGUUCGGAGGGGGGCUUACGUUUUCACACAAACUUUGUAUGCAGUGUAGAAUGUAUUUUUUGUUUUUGCGAUCACGCAAUCAAUACAACUUUCAACAACGGAUCUCUUGGCUCCC
rnacentral:misc_RNA from 1 species